UAUAUACAUUCUGUAAAGCCAUUUGCCAAACGGCCCAAACCCGAAUAACAAAGAAGUUGAUCGCUCAUCAAAUCUCCUGGUAGAAUUACCAGAGACAUUUGGGAAUUUAAAAGAUUUGAAGGUCUAUCUACUAUCCUUUGUUAUCUUGGAAUUUCUUUAUUCUCGUAUCCCUCUUUAUUUCAAAUUGGAAGUAAAAGUAAGAUACGGAAUACUAACAUCAAGCCUUGCUACACCAAAAAGAGGGCAAGUAAUGCAAUUUAUCUUUUUCAAGUAUAUGAAUUUGGGAUUUGCCCUUGCUCAUUGAAGCUUGUAGGUGCCUUUAGAACUUCCAGAUGUAUCAGUAGAUUGCCUUACUAAUAAAAGCUGUGCAAUGUUUCUUAAAUUGCCGCGAUAGUGACACUCUAUAUUUGCUCCCAUCUUUUUCUGUAUUGCAGGCUUUGUAUGCAAGUAAUAAUGGACUGAGAUCCCUCCCCAGUAUCCUAUUUAAAAUGUGUAGCCAACUUUCGAUUCUGGAUCUGCAUGGGACAGAAGUAACAAUGGAUGUUCUUCGCCAGUUUGAAGGAUGGGAUGAUUUUGAUAAUCGCCGCCGCUUGAAACAUCAGAAGCAGCUGGAUUUCCGAGUUAGUAGGUCAGCUGAAUUUGAUGAAGGUGCUGACAAUAGCUAUGGAGCUGCUAGUUGAGACCCUUGCCAGUUGAAGACCUACACAACAGUAACAUAGGAAAGUC